CACGUAGGGCGCGAGCGUUGUCCGGAAUUAUUGGGCGUAAAGAGCUCGUAGGCGGCCUGUUGCGUCCGCUGUGAAAGCCCGGGGCUUAACCCCCGGGUCGGCAGUGGAUACGGGCAGGCUAGAGGUAGGUAGGGGAGAAUGGAAUUCCCGGUGUAGCGGUGAAAUGCGCAGAUAUCGGGAGGAACACCGGUGGCGAAGGCGGUUCUCUGGGCCUUACCUGACGCUGAGGAGCGAAAGCGUGGGGAGCGAACAGG
rnacentral:rRNA from 1 species